rnacentral:misc_RNA from 1 species
GAUGAAGAACGUAGCGAAAUGCGAUAAGUAAUGUGAAUUGCAGAAUUCAGUGAAUCAUCGAAUCUUUGAACGCACAUUGCGCCCGCCAGUAUUCUGGCGGGCAUGCCUGUUCGAGCGUCAUUUCAACCCUCAAGCCCCCGGGCUUGGUGUUGGGGAUCGGCGUGCCCUCGCGGCGCGCCGUCCCCUAAAUCUAGUGGCGGUCUCGCUGUAGCUUCCUCUGCGUAGUAGCAACACUCGCACUGGAUCGCAGCGCGGCCACGCCGUUAAACCCCCCACUUCUGAAAGUUUGACCUCGGUUCAGGUAGGAAUACCCGCUGAACUUAAGCAUAUCAAUAAGCGGAGGA